rnacentral:rRNA from 1 species
UACGGGGGGGGCAAGCGUUGUUCGGAAUUACUGGGCGUAAAGGGCUCGUAGGCGGCCAACUAAGUCAGACGUGAAAUCCCUCGGCUUAACCGGGGAACUGCAUCUGAUACUGGAUGGCUUGAGUUCGGGAGAGGGAUGCGGAAUUCCAGGUGUAGCGGUGAAAUGCGUAGAUAUCUGGAGGAACACCGGUGGCGAAGGCGGGUCUCUGGGCCAUUACUGACGCUGAGGAGCGAAAGCGUGGGGAGCAAACAGG